UCGGGAAUAUUGCGCAAUGGAGGAAACUCUGACGCAGUGACGCCGCGUAUAGGAAGAAGUUUUUCGGAAUGUAAACUAUUGUCGUUAGGGAAGAGAAAGGACAGUACCUAAGGAGGAAGCUCCGGCUAACUACGUGCC
rnacentral:rRNA from 1 species